UUCGCAGGAGAGAGCCAGCGUAGAUGCUGGCCACCGAAGGCGCAAACUCCCAUAAACGCUCAGGUACCCAGGACUGCGAC
rnacentral:ncRNA from 1 species